UUGAGAUAAUAAGAAAAUAGUACUAAGGUGCUUCUAAAUUAGGAUUUAGAGCGUCUGCUCGGAUUUCUUAGAUUUUAGAAGAUCAGGAGUGAAUUUUAAGUUAAUUUUUUUUUGCUAAAAGUUAACAUUAAAUUUUACCUAUCUUAUAAAUUUGAGACAAACUAAAUAGCUACAUCAAGAAUAAACCAAAUCCUAACCAAAUCCUAAAUCAAAUCCUAAAUCAUAAAUCAAACCCUAACCAAAUUUUAAUUCAAAUCCUAAAUCCUAAAUCAAAUCCUAAUUCAAACCCUAAAUCUUAAAUCAAACCCUAACUAAAUCCUAAAUCCUCAAUCAAAUCCUAACCAAAUUCUAAUCUAAAUCCUAAACCCUAAAUCAAAUCCUAACUAAAUCCUAAAUCCUAAACCAAACCCUAACCAAAUCCUAAUCCAAAUCCUAAAUCUUAAACCAAACCUUAAACCAAA
rnacentral:lncRNA from 1 species